ACGGGUGAGUAACACGUGGGUAACCUGCCCUGUACUCUGGGAUAAGCCUUGGAAACGAGGUCUAAUACCGGAUACGACCCUUGCAGGCAUCUUUGGGGGUGGAAAGUUCCGGCGGUAUGGGAUGGACCCGCGGCCUAUCAGCUUGUUGGUGGGGUAAUGGCCUACCAAGGCGACGACGGGUAGCCGGCCUGAGAGGGUGACCGGCCACACUGGGACUGAGACACGGCCCAGACUCCUACGGGAGGCAGCAGUGGGGAAUAUUGCACAAUGGGCGAAAGCCUGAUGCAGCGACGCCGCGUGAGGGAUGACGGCCUUCGGGUUGUAAACCUCUUUCAGCAGGGACGAAGCGCAAGUGACGGUACCUGCAGAAGAAGCACCGGCUAACUACGUGCCAGCAGCCGCGGUAAUACGUAGGGUGCGAGCGUUGUCCGGAAUUAUUGGGCGUAAAGAGCUCGUAGGCGGUUUGUCGCGUCGGCCGUGAAAACUUGGGGCUUAACCCCAAGCCUGCGGUCGAUACGGGCAGACUUGAGUUCGGCAGGGGAGACUGGAAUUCCUGGUGUAGCGGUGAAAUGCGCAGA
rnacentral:rRNA from 1 species